rnacentral:rRNA from 1 species
AGUGAACGCUGGCGGUAGGCCUAACACAUGCAAGUCGAACGGCAGCACAGUAAGAGCUUGCUCUUACGGGUGGCGAGUGGCGGACGGGUGAGGAAUACAUCGGAAUCUACUUUUUCGUGGGGGAUAACGUAGGGAAACUUACGCUAAUACCGCAUACGACCUACGGGUGAAAGCAGGGGAUCUUCGGACCUUGCGCGAUUGAAUGAGCCGAUGUCGGAUUAGCUAGUUGGCGGGGUAAAGGCCCACCAAGGCGACGAUCCGUAGCUGGUCUGAGGGGAUGAUCAGCCACACUGGAACUGAGACACGGUCCAGACUCCGACGGGAGGCAGCAGUGGGGAAUAUUGGACAAGGGGCGCAAGCCUGAUCCAGCCAUACCGCGGGGGUGAAGAAGGCCUUCGGGUUGUAAAGCCCUUUUGUUGGGAAAGAAAAGCAGCAGGUUAAUACCCCGCUGUUCUGACGGUACCCAAAGAAUAAGCACCGGCUAACUUCGU